rnacentral:rRNA from 1 species
UACGUAGGGCGCAAGCGUUAUCCGGAAUUAUUGGGCGUAAAGAGCUCGUAGGCGGUUUGUCGCGUCUGCCGUGAAAGUCCGGGGCUCAACUCCGGAUCUGCGGUGGGUACGGGCAGACUAGAGUGAUGUAGGGGAGACUGGAAUUCCUGGUGUAGCGGUGAAAUGCGCAGAUAUCAGGAGGAACACCGAUGGCGAAGGCAGGUCUCUGGGCAUCAACUGACGCUGAGGAGCGAAAGCAUGGGGAGCAAACAGG